rnacentral:rRNA from 1 species
AACGCGAAGAACCUUACCAAGGCUGAACUACGCGGGAAAAGCCGUAGAAAUACGGUGUCCUUCGGGGCCCGCGAUAGGUGGUGCAUGGCUGUCGUCAGCUCGUGUCGUGAGAUGUUGGGUUAAGUCCCGCAACGAGCGCAACCCUUAUCCCAUGUUGCCAGCGAGUUAUGUCGGGGACUCGUGGGAGACUGCCGGUGCCAAACCGGAGGAAGGUGGGGAUGACGUCAAGUCAGCAUGCCCCUUACGUCUUGGGCUGCACACAUGCUACAAUGGCCGGUACAAAGGGCUGCAAACCCGCGAGGGUGAGCCAAUCCCAUAAAGCCGGUCUCAGUUCGGAUCGCAGUCUGCAACUCGACUGCGUGAAGUCGGAGUCGCUAGUAAUCGCAGAUCAGCAACGCUGCGGUGAAUACGUUCCCGGGCCUUGUACACACCGUAGUAC